GACGAACCGUGCGAACGUUGUUCGGAAUCACUGGGCUUAAAGGGCGCGUAGGCGGGCGGUCAAGUCAGAGGUGAAAUCCCACGGCUCAACCGUGGAAGUGCCCCUGAUACUGAUCGCCUCGAGGGAGGUAGGGGCGUGCGGAACUGUGAGUGGAGCGGUGAAAUGCGUUGAUAUUCACAGGAACUCCGGUGGCGAAGGCGGCUCGCUGGAUCUUUUCUGACGCUGAGGCGCGAAAGCUAGGGGAGCAAACGGG
rnacentral:rRNA from 1 species